GAGACCCCCCUAUGGAGCAGGACUUGCUUUAGUGGGGCUCUGGUGCUCGCUGAGUCUGCCUCUUGAGUGUGUCACU
rnacentral:pre_miRNA from 1 species